UUCAUCAAAGGAAGCCAGGUUAGGAGCUCAAGCAUGUGGGAACCUGGAGGCAGGAGCUGAUGCAGAGGCCAUGGAGUGGGGAGCUGCUUACUGACUUGCUGCUCCUAAUGACCUGCUUAGCCUGCUUCUUAUAGAACCCAGGACCACCAUCCCACAAUGGGCUGGGCCCUCCCCUAUCAACCAUUAAUUAAGAAAAUGCCUUACAGGCUUGCCUACGGCCUGAUCUUAUGGGGAGGCAGUUCUUAAUUGAGGUUCUCUCCUCUCAGAUGACUGUAGCUUGUGCCAACUUGACAUAAAACUCUCCAGCACACACUUUGACCUCCAUAAGUCGUGGCGGCAAACACAGAAGUAUGUUUAUUGCUGCAAUGUGUGUCAAAAGACUUGCGGCCUUCUGAUGCGAUGAACUCCAUCGAGUGAGCACGGAUUUAUGGUGAUGCCAAUUUGAAUCUGACAGGAUACCAGCACAUUAACCGCUCCUGGUGAUUCUUAGAGGAAAAACAUGUGAACGACCAACCCAAGUAAUGAACAAGCCAAGCUUCUAUUUACCUGUCAAGAAAUGAGGACAACCAUGAUACAGCCACUACAGCGCAUACAUAUUUUGGGACAUUGCUCAUUUAAUUCAUAUGGAACCUUUACGGAAGGGGAAUGC